GUGGAUUAGUUACCCUGGUAGUCCACGCCUUAAACGAUGGAUGCUAGCCGUCAGCAAGCAUGCUUGUUGGUGGCGCAGCUAACGCAUUAAGCAUCCCGCCUGGGGAGUACGGCCGCAAGGUUAAAACUCAAAGGAAUUGACGGGGGCCCGCACAAGCGGUGGAGCAUGUGGUUUAAUUCGACGCAACGCGAAGAACCUUACCAGUCCUUGACAUUCUCCGGGCGGUUUCCAGAAAUGGAUUCCUCCUAGCAAUAGGUCGGAGAACAGGUGCUGCAUGGUCGUCGACAGCU
rnacentral:rRNA from 1 species